GUCCAGUUAACUCAAAGAGUGUUCCAUGAACAAACUGCUGGUGUUGGAGUUAGUGCAGCAUCAAAUAUUCAUAAUGUGGUUGCAGAAGGUCAAUAUUCGCAUUCAUCUGGUCAAGCAUCAUAUCAAAAGACAAAGCAAGGUUUCAUGUUGCAGAAUUUUUCCAAUUGUUCUAGAAGGAAUAAUGUUCGGGCAAAUUGUUUAACAAGAAAUAACAUUUUGAUUGCAGGAUUGAUUGUAACAUAUCAAGAUUUGGGUGACAAUAUUUAUAUAUGCAAUUAUUGUAAUGCAUAUUUUUGGUCUGAA